rnacentral:rRNA from 1 species
UGGGGAAUAUUGGACAAUGGGCGAAAGCCUGAUCCAGCCAUGCCGCGUGUGUGAAGAAGGUCUUCGGAUUGUAAAGCACUUUAAGUUGGGAGGAAGGGCAGUAAGUUAAUACCUUGCUGUUUUGACGUUACCGACAGAAUAAGCACCGGCUAACUUCGUGCCAGCAGCCGCGGUAAUACGAAGGGUGCAAGCGUUAAUCGGAAUUACUGGGCGUAAAGCGCGCGUAGGUGAUUUGAUAGGUUGGAUGUGAAAGCCCCGGGCUCAACCUGGGAAUUGCAUCCAAAACUGUCUGACUAGAGUAUGGCAGAGGGUGGUGGAAUUUCCUGUGUAGCGGUGAAAUGCGUAGAUAUAGGAAGGAACACCAGUGGCGAAAGGCGACCGCCUGGGCUAAUACUGACACUGAGGUGCGAAAGCGUGGGGAGCAAAACAAGGAUUAGAUACCCUGGUAGUCCACGCCGUAAACGAUGUCGACUAGCCGUUGGGAUCCUCGAGAUCUUAGUGGCGCAGCUAACGCAUUAAGUCGACCGCCUGGGGAG